rnacentral:rRNA from 1 species
CAUGUAGGCGGUUAGAUAAGUCGUUUGUGAAAGCCCUCGGCUCAACCGAGGAAGGUCAAGCGAAACUAUUUAGCUAGAGUACGAUAGGGGAGAGCGGAAUUCCGAGUGUAGAGGUGAAAUUCGUAGAUAUUCGGAGGAACACCGGUGGCGAAGGCGGCUCUCUGGAUCUGUACUGACGCUGAGAUGCGAAGGCGUGGGUAGCAAACA